CGGCGAGCGAGACGUAGAUGUUCAAUGUCAGCUUAGGUUUCUCUUUUUUCUCACGAGUGAAAGUUGCGGGUGAGAAUACAUGAAAUUAUCUGUUUUCGUGUCCCAAUCUAUCACUUAUGACUGAUUUUGGAAAGAGAAGACUACAGUGAAGAUAAGACGAGAGUAUUUUGGUACUUUUUUUGGACAGAGGAUCGCGAAAGAUGGAUUUAUUGAACGAAAACAGCGUCACUCAGAGACUGAAGAUGCUGUAGUUUAGUACAUAAAUAUCACUGUUGGGCUGUCUACAAAUGAUCAACACAGCUCUCUCCUUUUUUGGCUGCCCUCGGAUCUUGGAUGGAAUUCUUCAAGCUCCUUCACUACCGACUCACAAGCCUGAGAGUCGUUACUGACUGUCUAACAACUGAUUUUGAUCCUGAUUCUCUAUGCAUUGCAAAACAUAUCCUUUUGUUAAAAUGAGUUAAGAGUAUUAAAUUAUUUGCACAAGAAUUAAAUAUCAAUUGACAUGAA